GAUGAACGCUGGCGGCGUGCUUAACACAUGCAAGUCGAACGGGAAACCUUUUAUUGCAGCUUCGGCAGAUUUAGCUGGUUUCUAGUGGCGGACGGGUGAGUAACGCGUGGGUAACCUGCCUUAUACAGGGGGAUAACAGUCAGAAAUGGCUGCUAAUACCGCAUAAGCGCACAGAGCUGCAUGGCUCAGUGUGAAAAACUCCGGUGGUAUAAGGUGGACCCGCGUUGGAUUAGCUGGUUGGUGGGGUAACGGCCCACCAAGGCGACGAUCCAUAGCCGGCCUGAGAGGGUGAACGACCACAUUGGGACUGAGACACGGCCCAGACUCCUACGGGAGGCAGCAGUGGGGAAUAUUGCACAAUGGGGGAAACCCUGAUGCAGCGACGCCGCGUGAAGGAAGAAGUAUCUCGGUAUGUAAACUUCUAUCAGCAGGGAAGAUAAUGACGGUACCUGACUAAGAAGCCCCGGCUAACUACGUG
rnacentral:rRNA from 1 species